AAGUAAGUUAACGCCUCUCAGUCGUGUGCGGAACUUUUAUGAUCAGUUGUAAGGUCACCCUUAAUCAAAGUCAUCCUGAAUGGACACAGUUUCAGUGGUCAGCAGUUCUUCAAUCCUGAAACUGCAGGAAGAAGGCAGUUUCCACAUAUUUGAACACAUAAAAAUCCCGAAACAGAUGCUCUGAGCCACCCUUCCUGAAUCAGAGUGCUUGGAGCAGCUAGGAAGACGACCGCUCCAUCUUGUCUAGCUGCUUAUCGGUGACCUCGUGGACUGCCCUGGGAAACAGAACUGUGUCUGCCUAAUCAAAAUGAACGCCACAUGGACAGAAUGGCACGCCUCUGCAUCUGUGGCGUCUCCGUGCUGCCGCAGAGGCAAACAGCCCCAAAGAAAAUAGUCCACACACAAUAGAAACUCCACUGAAAACAGAGGAGACUAAGAAAUAAAUUUGGAAACAAC